CAAAAGUCAAAUGAUAUGAGACCAUUUUAUCAGAAUGUGAUCAUUGGAUAUGGUUAUUAUGGCCAGAACACAUCACGCCACUUCAUUCACGCGAUAUCUAAAGCAUAUAAAUAGUGUGUAGACUCCUUAGUUCAAGCAUAAUACAAUUUUUUUGUUUUCUAACUAUUACUGUAUUUAUUCUCAAAGUUCUCCACGAACCAAAAUCAAAAAUGGGCGCAGAAAAGGUAUCCAUGAACAUUGUUGUGGUCGGACAAGUGCAAUCCGCCAAAUCAGCCAAAACCGUCACCAAGGCCCAACCCCAAGUUUCUCAAUACAAUAUGAGCUGUUAAUUCAACUCGUAUUUCUCCAUCUCAAAAAUGCCAUAGACCAACCAGAUAUCAUGUGCAAUAUGUAUAAACUUAAUUUGUUGUACUUAAAAUUAAUCAAUAAACUGGCUUUCCGUUA